rnacentral:rRNA from 1 species
GACAUAGGUCGCGAGCGUUAUUCGGAAUUACUAGGCGUAAAGCGAGUGUAGGCGGACUCUUAAGUCUGACGUUAAAUCUCCGGGCUUAACUCGGAGCUGUCGUCGGAUACUGAGAGCCUCGAAUGGAGUAGGGGGCAGGGGAAUUCCUGGUGUAGCGGUGAAAUGCGUAGAUAUCAGGAGGAACACCUAUGGCGAAAGCACCUGCCUGGGCUUCUAUUGACGCUAAGACUCGAAAGCUGGGGGAGCAAACAGG